rnacentral:lncRNA from 1 species
GGUUAGCACAAGAGUCUGCGGCUGGGUUGCUCGGGUUUGAAGCCCAACUCUGCCACUUACAAGCUGUGUGAAGAUGGCAAGCUCUUUAACUUCUCUGUGGAAGAGCAAUGAAGUCACAUAUAAUAUGUCCAAAAUGGCUAGAGGAAUCAUGGGAUUUGGCAUAUAAAUACAGCAUUGCUUUUCAAAAAGGACAGAAUAUGUUCAAGAACUAUUUAUAUUCUGGAUCCAUUUUCUGCCCUUCUCUGUCCUGACUGUGCCCUAGGAGUCUGACCCUCUGCAAACUGCUUCACCCACUCUCCCUUGUCAACAGGCUUCUCAUAGUGCUCAGCCAGUGGGAGGAAUAGAGAGGAGAUCGGAAGACAAGAGGAGAAAAAGGGGCUUUAAAGAUGACCUUGCUGGGAACGGGACAGCAAUCUUCAUCUGGUGAAAACAGGGUGACAAACACUGCCUAGAAAGAUACACAGACUAAAUUUAAGUCUAUUUCCAGGUAUUUCACAUUUAAACUUCCCAAGAGAAGAUUGGCUGGAUGGUCACUUUCUUCAGUAUUUGGCAAUCCUCUAGGUCUCAAAACAGGGCACUUAGAAGUCACUGGAGUGUGCAGAGACAGAAAUUAGAGACUCCAUAGUAAAACUGCUUUCUGGGAAAAUAGAAAUGCUUGAAAAUGUCAUUUUACUAAAGGUGAAAUUGAGUCCUGGUAGAGAUGGAGUGCCUCACCAAGAGACCAUGGAUUUGGAACUGGCCCUCAGCAUCUGAGUUCUGUCAUCCCACCAAGUUGCAAUGUCGGGCAGGCCCAGUAGCCAUCCAACAUGAUAUGGCAGUGAUACACUUGGGGUUGAGCACAAGCAGGACCAGAGGGCACAAGCAAGCUGUGGGAGCAAAAACCCCAGACCCCAUGUCUGAAGAAGCACCUCAGCUGACACUUGUGGUUGUAUGGGAAUUCAUUACC